ensembl:lncRNA
AUGCUUUACCCAUUAUGGGUUAUUUAUAUGGAAUUUGGGUUAUUUUGUGCAACUCAUGCGUUGAGUCAAAAUCCAUCAACCCAAUUUAUAUCGGUUGACCCAGCACGUGAGUUGUUUGUGCUUCGAACCUCAUCAUCACCAGAGUCCACACACCGAGCGCUCGUCACAGCAGAGAACCUGACUGCUCAUGCAGCGAGGCCAAUAAAUAAUAAAAGGCGCUGUGUGCGCGCCCGCGCCCUUACAUCUGCUGAGCAACUGGUGCGACGUGACACGGAUUUUUCCUGUUAUUUUGCAGAUCAAUUGACAGCUUUGUCAUUAACACUGACAGACCUUGUCGAAAGAUUUAAAGAGGAGGGGAUUGAUGAAGAUAGUUUUCUUUUAGAUGAGGCUACCAUCAACCAGUUGAUCCUAAAACAGGAGGGGAAGCUGACAUUGCCCCUGGAUGGAUUAACACCAGAUGGUGUUGGGGAACUUGCCCUGAGACAGUUGCCAGCCUUGCUUCCACCUACAACUUACAAAGGUGUGAAAGUAGUUCGCCACACCAUUCAGGAAUGCAGCUUGGCCUUCAUCGACCAUAAGCCUCCUGGAAUAAACAUGGUGGAGUACCUCCAUGAGGCCAAGGCAUGCAAGACAUACCCUCACAUCCUGACGCUGGGAAAUGAUCAGAGUGCAUUUCAGGCCUUCGUCAUAAUAGCUGGACAGGCCCUGGAACUAGAAACACUGCUUUGGGCCAUUGAUGUCUGCUUCAAGGCAUUCUUUGUCUUUGACAUUGAAUACCCAAAGCAGUGUGAACAUGUGUGGGAAUUCAUACAGAAUGUGAUAUAUGAAAUCUAAAAUGGUUAAGUUUAUUCAAACUAGAAUACUUGCUUGCAAGUAGAGAUAAUGGCUCUUAAAAGCAGCAUUAAGGAAUUUGAAUUUGUUCACUAGAGCUGCUGACUGUUGGCCUGUUGAAUGUUCAGCCAGUUCAAUCGAAAUUGUUUUGCUUUGAAUGUUUUCCAACCUGAGUGAACUGCACCAGUUCCACUAUAUUGUCGAUAUUAAUGUAAUAAAUUUUUUCAAAGAUUCCAUUGUUUUGUUCUUGUAUUGUUUAAGUGUUUAUUGCAUAAUAUAUGCAUAAAUCUAGCAUGUAUUCUGUUCUAGGUUUGUAGUUUCACAGUUUUAUAUGGGUAGUCUAUUGCAAUUUAUUUUCUUAAAUUGUAGUGUAAUGUGUUAAGACUUAAUCUGGCAUAUGGGUUAAUUUUACCCAUCUUAAUAUGUAGUUGAAUCAACCCAGAAUUGUAUUUAAUUUGACCCAGAAUUUAGGUACACUAUUUAACAAAUAUGUAGUUAAAUCAACCCAUAAUUGUAUUUAAUUUGACCCAGAAUUUGGGUAGAAUAUUUAACUCAUCUGUUGGGUUAAAAAUGACCAACCCAUCUUGCUGGGUCAAAUUAACUACCGUUGGUCUGGUGCAAUAUUGAUCCAGCGGUUGGGUUAUAAAACAACCCAAGGUGGGUUAUUUUUAACCCAUCAUUUUUCUGUGUGUACAUUAUCACUUCUAUGAGUCCGUUUUGGAUGAGUAUAAAUGAAACAUACACUGCCUGAGAGUGUUUAGUUGAUGUUCACAUUGCCUCAUUCUGGAUACAAAUAAAAUGUCAGGUCAUGCAUAGAUUAUCCUAAUGUAGAUUUAUUUACACUGGCCCAUGACAACCUAUACAUGAACACACCUGCCCGAAUAAAGUGCGGGGGACAAAUAUACAUUUUAUUAAAUUUAAAUUUAAAUUUUUCAUUUUAUUUAAUAUUAAAAAUGCUAUCGCAGUUCUACGCUCA